rnacentral:rRNA from 1 species
UACGGAGGGGGCUAGCGUUGUUCGGAAUUACUGGGCGUAAAGCGUACGUAGGCGGCUUUGUAAGUUAGAGGUGAAAGCCCGGGGCUCAACUCCGGAAUUGCCUUUAAGACUGCAUCGCUUGAAUCAUGGAGAGGUGAGUGGAAUUCCAGGUGUAGCGGUGAAAUGCGUAGAUAUCUGGAGGAACACCGGUGGCGAAGGCGACGCCUGGACCGGCAUUGACGGCUGAGG